CACCAAUCAAGCCUGGCUUGGUAUUGGGGCCCGCCCUCCAGCGGCCUCUAAACUCAGUGGCGGUGCCAUUAGGCUCUCAGCGUAGUAAUUCUUCUCGCUACAGGGUCUUCUGGUUGCUUGCCAUAACCCCAACUUCUUUA
rnacentral:misc_RNA from 1 species